rnacentral:tRNA from 1 species
GAGGGUACAGCUCAGUGGCAGAGCGUGUGCUUAGCACGCACAAGGUCCUGGGUUCUAGCCCCGGUACCUCCA